AUUGGGGUUCCUGGAGAGGAGGCCCCCUCUCCCCAGGUGGGGGCUCCUGUUUCCCCUGCUCUGCUCUGAGGUCCCCAGGGUCCAGUCCCCUCCCCACCCUAUCCUGGAGCUUGUCAAGGCCACCAGAGACCUGCUCCCUGUGCCGUCUCAGACUGGACUCUGGGGUCUCCGGUGCCUCCUCUGAUUCUGCACCUCGGUGCAGCCUCUGGCCUGGCUGCGCUCUGAGGAGCUCCCUGUGGCCACCGAGCCCUUGGAACGUGGCCAGUUCCAUUCUCAAACUGCUGUGAGUGCAAAGCUCAUGCUGGAUUUUGAAGAUUUGAUAGAAUUUCACCCUGUUAGCCAGGAUGGUCUCAAUCUCCUGACCUUGUGAUCUGGCCGCCUCGGCCUCCCAAAGUGCUGGGAUUACAGGUGUGAGCCACCGCGCCCGGCCUGUCUUCUUCUUCCUAAGGUCUCACUCUGUCACCCAGGCUGAAGUGCAGUGGCACCAUCACAGAUCACUGCAGACUCCACCUCCUGGGCUCAAGCAAUCCUCCUGUCUCAGCCUCCCGAGUAGCUGGAACUCCCAAGUAACACACACAUUAGCAUGC
rnacentral:lncRNA from 10 species